UACGUAGGGCGCAAGCGUUAUCCGGAAUUAUUGGGCGUAAAGAGCUCGUAGGCGGUUUGUCGCGUCUGCCGUGAAAGUCCGGGGCUCAACUCCGGAUCUGCGGUGGGUACGGGCAGACUAGAGUGAUGUAGGGGAGACUGGAAUUCCUGGUGUAGCGGUGAAAUGCGUAGAUAUCGCUUGGAACGCCGACGGCGAAAGCAGUCUGCUGGGGGUGUGCUGACGCUGAGACACGAAAGCCAGGGGAGCGAACGGG
rnacentral:rRNA from 1 species